CUUCACUGAUCUGACUGCUGGUCGUGGCCUCUGGGCUGCUAUGCCAGUGUUUGCAUCUCCAAAAGUAGCACACUAGUCUUUCAUUUGUCAGGGCUUUGAAGCAUCUCUCACUUCCAUAAAAUCAGUAAGCCUCGGAGGAAGAAGGAGUUUAAAUUGAACCAAGGAAGCCUCCAAAAAAAAGUGCAUGAUCAUCAUCCACCAACUUCACCUGGAUUAAAUUAGGUGCCAUCCUAAUAGAAGACUCAACUACUCUGCCUUGCUCUUCUGCACUUUCAGUUAAGGGCUGAAGAACUACCUGAUGACUUUACAUUCUCAAAAAUGUCUUAGAAGCUUAACUGCAAACAUGAAAAAAAG